ensembl:snRNA U7 U7 small nuclear RNA
AAGUGCUUACAGCUCUUUCUUAAUUUGCCUAGUAUGUCUUCUGGUUUUAUACCAAAAGGUCCUC